UAUUUUUUUUUUUCCCAAUGGCACCUGCGGGAGACUAUUCAACCCGGAAAGCAACCAUUAGUACGUCGGAUCACUUUUUUAAUUGCACUACGUCAGGCAAUAUAUUUCCUUUUGGACAAAAUUGCUGGGGCAAUAAACCUCUAUUCAGGUAUGCUUUGGAUUCCAGCCAAGUCAAUCCACACUUGAAGUUGAAGAUAAAUGAGGUCCUGGAUGGAAAUGGUAUGUAACAUUGGGACCAAAUUGAAUACAAUCUGUCCUCGCACAUUUACAUUUUGGCCUCUCUUUCCACUUUGUCAAUUGGCAUAGAGGAAGGUUUGAGCAUCCUCACUUGUAAAUCAGGUUGUCAAACACUCCAUCGAGGUAUGGCAUUCUCUGGUUUGGAAUCAAAAAAUAUCUUUCUUUGCCCAGAAAUUGUUGAAAGGGAAUAUUCCACCCGAGGUUUCAUCGGGAACCAAUGGUUUCUUCGGUCUGACUUGAUAGGCGUGAGCGUAGGGCCUCCUCAGAUGUUGCGGGCCUUGCCCCAGCCAUUGUCGUCCUUAUCUUCCAUUUCCAUCCUGCUCGUCCAAAGUGCAAAGAUGCAGCGAUUGCAAGGAAAGUUUGGCUCUGCCACUACCUUGAGAAUAUAAAAGACAUAUUACAGGCAAGCCAUCUUGGUAGGGGAAAAAUGGCAUUUGCUUUAGAGAUUACUUUGUUGUAAAGAAACUUACCAUAGCCAUGAUUAUGAAGCUGUAACAUAUUCAAGUAUAAAUUAUUGAUUCAACAUCCUGAAAGAGGAUCAUAUUCAUAUA